CACAGAGGUCUCAAGCGUUGUUCGGAUUCAUUGGGCGUAAAGGGUGCGUAGGCGGCGCGGUAAGUCGGGUGUGAAAUCUCGGAGCUUAACUCCGAAACUGCAUUCGAUACUGCCGUGCUUGAGGACUGGAGAGGAGACUGGAAUUUACGGUGUAGCGGUGAAAUGCGUAGAUAUCGUAAGGAAGACCAGUGGCGAAGGCGGGUCUCUGGACAGUUCCUGACGCUGAGGCACGAAGGCUAGGGGAGCAAACGGG
rnacentral:rRNA from 1 species